UUGUGCGUGGGACAGCGAUCGA
rnacentral:miRNA from 1 species